rnacentral:rRNA from 1 species
AAAUUGAAGAGUUUGAUCAUGGCUCAGAUUGAACGCUGGCGGCAGGCCUAACACAUGCAAGUCGAACGGUAACAGAAAUCAGCUUGCUGAUUUGCUGACGAGUGGCGGACGGGUGAGUAAUGUCUGGGAAACUACCUGAUGGAGGGGGAUAACUACUGGAAACGGUAGCUAAUACCGCAUAA